rnacentral:rRNA from 1 species
AGCAGCCGCGGUAAUUCCAGCUCCAAUAGCGUAUAUUAAAGUUGUUGCAGUUAAAAAGCUCGUAGUUGAAUUUCGGGAUCAAUACGUCGGUCGUGCUUCGGUACGUACUAACGUCAUUGAUUUCUCCCUUCUGACGAAUCGUGAUGUCAUUAAUUUGGUGUUACGGGGAGUUAGGACUGUUACUUUGAAAAAAUUAGAGUGUUUAGAGCAAGCAAUCGCUCGAAUACAUUAGCAUGGAAUAAUGAAAUAGGACGUUCGAACCUAUUUUGUUGGUUUCUAGGAUCGACGUAAUGAUUAAUAGGGAUAGUUGGGGGCAUUAGUAUUCAAUUGUCAGAGGUGAAAUUCUUGGAUUUAUUGAAGACUAACUACUGCGAAAGCAUUUGCCAAGGAUGUUUUCAUUAAUCAAGAACGAAAGUUAGGGGAUCGAAGACGAUCAGAUACCGUCGUAGCCUUAACCAUAAACUAUGCCGACUAGGGAUCGGAUGAUGUUAAUUUUAUAAUGACUCAUUCGGCGCCUUAC